UACGAGUGCCCCAAGCGUUAUCCGGAAUUAUUGGGCGUAAAGGGUGUGUAGGCGGUCCAGUUAGUCUCAUGUCAAAUUCUUCGGCUUAACCGGGGUACCGCAUGAGAAACGGCUGGACUAGAGGAUGCGAGGGGUGAGUGGAACUCAUGGAGUAGGGGUGAAAUCCGUUGAUAUCAUGGGGAACACCGAAAGCGAAGGCAGCUCACUGGCGCACUCCUGACGCUGAAACACGAAAGCGUAGGUAGCGAAUGGG
rnacentral:rRNA from 1 species